CGUCAUCCUCGUUGUUAGCUAUU
rnacentral:siRNA from 1 species